rnacentral:rRNA from 1 species
GACGAACGCUGGCGGCGUGCUUAACACAUGCAAGUCGAACGAAGUGGCGAACGGGUGAGUAACGCGUCAUCAACCUGCCCUUCAGAGGGGGACAACAGUUGGAAACGACUGCUAAUACCACAUACUGAAGGCGGGGAUUACGUCUGAUUAGCUAGUGGGAGGGGUAACGGCAUACAAAGGCGAUGAUCAGUAGCCGGUCUGAGAGGAUGAACGGCCACAUGGGGACUGAGACACGGCCCAGACUCGUACGGGAGGCAGCAGUGGGGAAGCUGCCGCAAUGGACGAAAGUUUGACGGAGCAACGCCGCGUGAGUGAUGACGGCCUUCGGGUUGUAAAGCUCUGUUAAUCGGGACGCGGUACCGGAAUAGAAAGCCACGGCUAACUACGUGCCAGCAGCCGCGGUAAUAC